GCAUACUCUAGAGCUCUAAUCACUUUAAUUAAUUAAUUAAAAUUACCCUCAAAUCCGCCUUCUUAAUACUUUAAAAAUAAAAAUCCGUCUAAAUAAUUUUAUUGUAACUCAUCUCUUCUUAUCUAUAAGCUAUAUCUUGACCUGAUUUACUGCCUAACUAGCCUCUUGAACAUUUACCUUCUUUUAAAACAUUCAACCUACGGCGAUAUACAAACUAAUAUAAAAUAAGUAAAUUAAAUCGUGGAUCAUCAAUUACAGGACAAGUUCCUCUGAAUAGACUAAAGUACCGCCAAAUCUCUUCAUUUUCAAGAACUUAACUACUACUAAUCUAGAAAUACAACUUUACAUUUAGAA
rnacentral:rRNA from 1 species